UCUCGCUUCCACUCGGUCCUCCUUUUGUUAGCGCUCUGGCUUCCAUCAGGUCUACGCCUGCUCCCGUGCAAUCCGGCGCCAUCGCGCUUUGGGCGAGCAUGGCAAUGGGGAGUUGAGAGGUGGGAACCGAGCUGACGCCUGCCUGGCCCUGGCGAUGGUGGUGUGCGCCGGGAAAGGACUGAUUGGAGAAUGGUGCCUAAAGGGAUGCCGAGGGGACGCAGGAGCUCUCGGUGUGACCUGGCGCUGUGGAUGUAAUACACAUCAGCUUGAGUGGGGCUGCUCCGCUGUCCUCAUGAGAGAACCCUUUUUCUGAAGAUGGGAGGUGGCUAAUGAAAGAAGGAAUUGUGUUCUCGGUGAUGUCCUGAAGAGAUGCGGGAUGAUGGAAGAUGAUGAUGAAAUGCAGGAGAGCCAGUAUCUUGGAGGUUGACUAUCGGCUAGGAUCCAGGACUGAGUAUAAGAGCAUGCAUGUCCAAGAAUGAAAUCAAAGGAUGUUUUUUGUAAGAGUAAUGCUUACAGAAAUAUUCAUUAAUUUGAAGAUUUAUAUAAGGCUUGGUGACCUCCGUUAAUUCCUGGGACCCACAGUGUGGAAGAAGAGACCUGACUCCUGGAAGUUGUCUUCUGACCACAUGCACACAAUACGUAAAUAAAUGUAAUUAAAAACAAUCAAAAUAGUAAAACUGAAACAUUAGAAUGUUGUGUUUUAUUGAAAUGUAAACAUGGUGCAAAGGAUUAUGGAACAAUGCUGCAUGCUUUGUGACAGAACUUUAUCAUGGUUUGAAAUGAGAAAGGGAUCAAAAUUGUCAAAAGAAUUAAAGUCUUUGUAAACCUUU